rnacentral:rRNA from 1 species
UACGUAGGGGGCGUAGCGUUGUCCGGAAUCAUUGGGCGUAAAGAGCGUGUAGGCGGCUCGGUAAGUCCGCUGUAAAAGUCAAGGGCUCAACCCUUGGAUGCCGGUGGAUACUGCAGGGCUAGAGUCCGGAAGAGGCGAGUGGAAUUCCUGGUGUAGCGGUGAAAUGCGCAGAGAUCGGGAGGAACACCCGUAGCGAAGGCGGCACUCUGGGCCGGUACUGACGCUGAGGAGCGAAAGCGUGGGGAGCAACAGG